rnacentral:rRNA from 1 species
UACGAAGGGGGCUAGCGUUGCUCGGAAUCACUGGGCGUAAAGCGCACGUAGGCGGAUUGUUAAGUCAGGGGUGAAAUCCUGGAGCUCAACUCCAGAACUGCCUUUGAUACUGACGGUCUUGAGUUCGGGAGAGGUGAGUGGAACUGCGAGUGUAGAGGUGAAAUUCGUAGAUAUUCGCAAGAACACCAGUGGCGAAGGCGGCUCACUGGCCCGAUACUGACGCUGAGGUGCGAAAGCGUGGGGAGCAACAG